UCCGUUUUGCGAAUUAUCUGUGUUUUAGUCUUUGCACGAGUCAGCGGUGAAGGAACUGCGAGGGACGACAUUCUACUUACACAAUACGUUACAAUCGUUGGAAAAUUCCAACAAAUUUUACUUCGCUCGCUACUUUACGCUAAGAGCACCUAUGACUCUCGCAAGAUCAAUGAUUUAUAGUAAAAGUGGAUCGGUCGAAGAGGAUCUGUGCUUUGGCCUGCGUGAUCCUUAGGUUUAAAUCCUCUCUUUU
rnacentral:misc_RNA from 1 species